UUUAAAGAGAGUUUGAUCCUGGCUCAGGACGAACGCUGGCGGCGUGCCUAAUACAUGCAAGUCGAACGAACGGAGGAAGAGCUUGCUCUUCCAAAGUUAGUGGCGGACGGGUGAGUAACACGUGGGCAACCUGCCUGUAAGUUGGGGAUAACUCCGGGAAACCGGGGC
rnacentral:rRNA from 1 species